UACAGAGGUGGCAAGCGUUGUUCGGAAUUACUGGGCGUAAAGGGCGCGUAGGCGGUCUUGUAAGUCUUGUGUGAAAUCCCUCGGCUUAACCGAGGAACUGCACGGGAUACUGCGAGACUUGAGAUCGGGAGAGGGAAGCGGAAUUCCGGGUGUAGCGGUGAAAUGCGUAGAUAUCCGGAGGAACACCGGUGGCGAAGGCGGCUUCCUGGACCGACACUGACGCUGAGGCGCGAAAGCUAGGGGAGCAAACGGG
rnacentral:rRNA from 1 species